UGCGUCUCCCUUUUUCAAUUUGAGCGCUGCCGACAGUUGCAAAAUGUUUAUGAAUAAAAUAUCUCUUAAGAGCAACUAUUUCUUUUUCUUCACUUAUUCCUUACAAAAUAAACUCUUAAAAAAUACACACAAAGUAUGUUUAGAAAAAUCAAAUAUUUAAGUUUUCUCAUUUGAAAUAAAAAUUCAAGUUGAAGGUGUUUUACGUACUAUGUAUAUGUAUGUACAUACAUAUCUGACAUCUCAGUUAGACGUCGCACCCUUCUAACCCCCGCUGACCCAAGUCGAUUGGCCAUGUACAAAAAUCUUUACAUAUUCCUCAAAUUAAAUGUGUAUUAUUAGCAUUAACAAAUUUAGUAUGUAUGUACAUAUGUCAAUUUGUUUGGGACUGAGUAAAUUUGUUUAAAAUAUAGUCGGCGAACAUAUCAAACAAAAUAUGUGUGAUAAACUGUCCUAUUUAAUCCAACUUAGGAAAAAGACAGGGAUGGAAUAUCAUAUCUCGUUCUGGCCCAACUGCACAGAACACAACUUGUUGUAAGAAGCGAGAUAAAUUGAAUACCCCUAUAGUAUCCUCUCGUUUCGACGCAACUGCGCAAUACCCAACGUUAUGCGACAGGUAGAGUGUGUUCAAGACGCACUACAAUAUGAAGCGAAGACACAAACCACGAAACACUUGAAAAAAUCAUGUAAAAUGUAAAACCAACAAUAAAAUUUUCUUAAUACUGGCGGUUUGAUACAUAUAUUGUAAAAAAAUAGAAUUUCAUCUAUUUCAUGUUUUCCUGCAUGAAAAAUGUUCAUUUCAUUUGCAUGGAUAAUGUUACAUAUUUACAUACAUAUAUAUUUUUGAUAUAUGAAAUAAAAAAUUUGAUGUUUAAAACAAAA